CCUACGGGAGGCAGCAGUGAGGAAUAUUGGUCAAUGGGCGCAAGCCUGAACCAGCCAUGCCGCGUGCAGGACGACGCAUCUAUGGUGUGUAAACUGCUUUUGUACGGGAAGAAACCCUGCCACGUGUGGCAGAUUGACGGUACCGUAAGAAUAAGGAUCGGCUAACUCCGUGCCAGCAGCCGCGGUAAUACGGAGGAUCCAAGCGUUAUCCGGAAUCAUUGGGUUUAAAGGGUCCGUAGGCGGUUUUAUAAGUCAGUGGUGAAAUCCGGCAGCUCAACUGUCGAACUGCCAUUGAUACUGUAGGACUUGAAUUAUUGUGAAGUAACUAGAAUAUGUAGUGUAGCGGUGAAAUGCUUAGAUAUUACAUGGAAUACCCAUUGCGAAGGCAGGUUACUAACAAUAUAUUGACGCUGAUGGACGAAAGCGUGGGGAGCGAACAGGAUUAGAUACCCUGGUAGUCCACGCCGUAAACGAUGGACACUAGCUGUUCGGAUGCAAAUCUGAGUGGCUAAGCGAAAGUGAUAAGUAUCCCACCUGGGGAGUACGAACGCAAGUUUGAAACUCAAAUGAAUUGACGGCUGAGAGNGCGAGGAGACGACGAGGGAGAGG
rnacentral:rRNA from 1 species